UACGUAGGGUCCGAGCGUUGUCCGGAAUUAUUGGGCGUAAAGAGCUCGUAGGCGGUUUGUCGCGUCUGCUGUGAAAUCCCGAGGCUCAACCUCGGGUCUGCAGUGGGUACGGGCAGACUGGAGUGCGGUAGGGGAGAAUGGAAUUCCUGGUGUAGCGGUGAAAUGCGCAGAUAUCAGGAGGAACACCGGUGGCGAAGGCGGUUCUCUGGGCAUUACCUGACGCUGAGGAGCGAAAGUGUGGGGAGCGAACAGG
rnacentral:rRNA from 1 species